UACAGUAACUCUUUAAAUGUUACAUUAAAAAAAGAUCCGUUGGUCGGUCCUUUUUCAGAAAAGUAAAUGGACUAGCUCAACGGUGCAUCCUUUAGACGCGAUUAAAAGAAAAACAAGAUCUCUCUACAUUUAUGCAGUGUAAAAGUUCGGAUCUGAAAGCGCAUUGUUAUAUGAUGUAACCUACUGAAGCGUUAGUAAAGAGAAGAGAAUGUACCUCAUCGGCAGCGACAGAUGGACCGGGAGAGGAAGCAUCGAGGCUAGGUCCAGGAGCUCCAGUUGGUGGAGCGGGAGGUCCAAGCAUAUCAGGUGAAGGAGUCGGAGCAUGGUGUUUCUUGGAUUUCUUGCUUUUGCUCUUGCUCUUGCUUGGAGCUGGGGCCGGAACCUCAGCAGUAGUUGGUGCAGCAACAGGAGCCGGAGGAGAGGCCGAGCUCUCUGGUGGAGUCGUCGGUGCAGCAACGGGAGGCGAUUUGGCUGGAGGAGAGCUCACAGGUACUGGAGCAGGUGGAGAACUCACCGGAGCAGCAGCCGGAGGAGAAGAAGCCGGAGCAGAUUUAGAUGGGGCUGGAACCGCCGCAGACUUCUCCGGAGCCGCAGCCGGUGGUGAAGAAGUUGGUGGGGAAGUGGUAGGGGCAGCAGUUGGAGCCGGUGAUUUAGGUUUGCUAACAGGGGCAGUAGCGGGAGCAGUAGCAGGAGUAGCCGCGGCCGGCGGAGCUUUAGUAGGUGAGGCUGCCGGAGAUUGACCACCGACAGCGGUUACCACAAAGCAAAUCAAAGCAACUGCAAAUGCACUUCUACGAUCCAUUUCUUGAAGACAGAGGGAGAGUGAAGUAGUAACAGAAACUAAUGACAACGAGACGACAGACUCUCAAUAAAUAUAUAAAUAAAUGAGGGAGAGAAUCAGAAAAAAUGAUGAUUAUAAAAAGAAAAGAAGAAAAAGUUAGGAACGUGUUUGGAUCAGAAAUAGCCGUUGGAUGAGAAGCUAUUUCGGGGCCCACCGUCAUCAAAUUGUAAUGUGGCGAUCAAGACUCGACAGUCUGGAUUGGGGCCCACAUACAUGAACCAUGUAAUUUGUUGUUACAUUACCUGAUUAGGGUAAACUACACCCAAGGUCACUGAAGUAUUAAUAAAUUUACAUUUCAGUCGUUUAACUUUAAAAAGUUACAAAAUAGUCACUAAAUCAUUCGGAAGUUUUUAUUUAAUUCAUUGAGAUAUUAAAUCUCUGUUAUAUGGCUUUCUUUAUUCACACGGCCUACACCAAUCAAAAGAUCUUAUUCUCCUUCUCUUCAACAAUUUAAUUAUUUUCAUAGAAUAAUUUUGAAUGUUAUGAAUUUACGAAUCAAAAUUCAAACAGUUUUCUUUUUCAAUCUCUUACAAGGUAUGUUCUUCUACUCUUUGAUAGGUACUAAUCCAUUGUAUCAAUCGUCAUAAAAAAAUACUUAACAAUUCAAUGACUUAAAUAAAUACUUUCAAAUAAUUUAGUGACCAUGUUGUAACUUUUUAAAGUUAAGUGACCAAAAUAUGAAUUUACUAAUAAUUUAGUGACCUUAGGUGUAGUUUACCCUACUAAUUAAUAUUAUAAUAAAUGUUUAAUUCUAUCCCCAACCUCUGUACUCUUUGGGGUUUUAAAAUUUAGCCUUCCUACUUUUGAUUUUAAAAAUUUAGUUUCUCUUCAUUUUUAUUUAAAAGUCCAAUUCAUGAAAACUUGGUUAAAUUUUAAUAUUCGAAGCUUUGAUCUAAAAAUAAUAAUAUAUAUUUAAAUUGAAUGGAAAUGUUAUUAAUUAAAUUUUAAUUUUUAAAUCAAGCAGGAGAGAUAGGGAAUUAAAAUUUAAAAUUAAAAUUUAAAAGCUGAAAGAGUAAAGGGGUUGGAAAAAAUUAAACCUACAAUAACUAAUUGAAUGAUACAAUUGUUAUGAAGUAGUGAGACAGCUGGACGUAGGGAGAGUGGGGUAUUGCUGCGCAAAGAGACAAACCAAUAGGAGGCGGCCGCGUGACCGGGUAAAGCAGUUACGGGUGAUAUUUUGAGAUGGGUCACCGACUCACCGGCAAGAAACUGUGUCUCUGCAAGCAAAACUUGUCUGGAAUAACGUGACGUGUAUUAUACUUAAACACCCUAACCUUUUCUCUUUUCGUUAAAAAUUGUCAAGUGGCUAAGGCUUUUUUUUUUAUCAUCUAUAUAUUAGAGUUUUAAAAAAAGUUUUGCAAAAUAGUUGAGUUGUGUAAUUAUUUCACCUCCACCCUUUGGCCUCUCUCGGUACAUUAUUAUGUAAAAGUGAGUAUUCCACUGAAUCGAUUAAAAAAUUUUGAGUUAAUUGAGUUAACGAGUUUUAUUUUAUCAUUCUAACUCGAUUUAAUUUUUUUUCAAAUUGAAUUGAGUAAAAUAAAAUUCGAGUCGAUUCGAAUGAAAUUGUUUGAGUUAAAUUAAAAAAUUAAACAUGUUAAAUUAAAAUCUUGUUAUACUAUAUAGAGGUGCUCAUGGGCCGGGCGGCCCGGCCCGGCCCGACGGCCCGCCCGAAAUAUGGGAGGGUUUGGGUAAAAAUAUAGGCCCGAAAUAUGGGCUUGGGCAAAAAAAUGAUGCCCGAUUUAAAAACGGGCCGGGCCUCGGGCACAACUUUUUUGGCCCGGGCCCGGCCCGGCCCGGCCCGAAUAUAAUAAAUAUUUUUAUUAUUUUUAAUUUUAAAAUACUUUUAAAAUACUUUUAUUAAAUUUUUUAAAUUUUUAAAUUUUUUUAAAAUACUUUUUAAAUUUUUUUUAAUUUUAAAAUAUUUUUAAAAUACUUUUUUUAAUUUUUAUUUUAAUUUUUAAAAUAAUUUUUUGGUAAUUAUUUAAAAAACGGGCCGGGCCGGGCCCAGGCUUAUGAUUUUUUUCCCAGGCUGGGCCUGGGCAAAAUUCUAGGCCCAUAUUUUGGGUCGGGCCAAAAAAAAUUUUUGGGCCCGGCCCGGCCCAGCCCAUGAGCACCUCUAAUACUAUAACUAAUUCCAUGUUAUAACACAUAAAUUUGAAACCAUAUAUAUUUGAAAACUUUUUCAAAGCAGAAUAAAAAAAUUACUUUAGUAUGAUAAACUUGAAUCAUUAAUUAACUUAUUUAGGUCCCAAAAUUAUUAUUCUAGAAAAUUUUUAAUAUUUUAACUUUCUUUAUAUUUUUUUAGAUUUUUUUUUGAAAUUUUUAUAAUUUUUAAAAAGUAUAAAUUUGGAAUUUUUAUAAAUAUUUUGAAAUUUUAAAAUUAUUUUGUAAUUUUUAUUGAGAGAGUGGUCAAUUUGUUCAUUUUCAAACUUGGCAGAGACCAAAAAGGUAUUUAUACCAAUAUGUUAUUCGAAUUAUUCGAGUUAUUUUAAUUGUAAAAUUCAACUCGAUUCGAACUCGAAACUCGAAUUACUUACUCGAGUUGACUUGAAUAAUUCAAAUAACUCGAUUCAAUUAACUCAAAAUUUAAUUUUUUUCGGAUUAAAUUGAAUUUUGCUCACUCCUAUUAUUUUGCACAGCAUCACAAUAUAGAUUUUUCGGUUUUAAAAUAUCGCCGAUCUAUAUUCUUCUUCAAUGCUAUAAAGCUCGACCCUUCCACAAUCAUUAUCUAUACAUCAUCAUCAUACAUUGUAUGAAUCGUAGAAUAUAUUACUGGAUUGUCAUAUAUAAUAAAUUUAUAUCUAUUCAUCAUCAUCAUACAUUAUACAAAAAUAUAUAAUAUGUCAAUUUACUACAUUCAUGAUAUGGAUUGAAAGAUAAAAAUUACACAAAUAAAAAUUACAUUUACUAAAAAUAAUGAUAUUUUCAAUAAUUAUUUGAUUUUAUAAAUAAAAGAGUUAUUAAUUAAAAUGAUAAAUAAAAAAUAAAAAAAACUUGAAAACAAUAUAUUUAUUAAUUAUAAAUAUUAAUUAAAAAUAAUAAAAAAGUUGAAAUAAAAAAUACAUAUUAAAAUUCUUAUAAAAGGAAUCAAACUUAGGACUGAAAGAAGAAAUCACAAUUAUCUAACCAUCUAACCAAAAGAGCUAAUGUGUCAAAAAUAUUAAUUUAAAAAAAAACUUAAAAUAACAUGAAAUAAAAAUUACAAAAGUGAAUAGGAGAGGAAUUGAACCUAAGACUUAAGACUAAAAACACUAACACUUAACCAUCUGAUCAAAAGAGCUAAGUUGUCAAUUUGUGAAAACAUGACACAUGUUCAGCUGACGUAGCUAAAAAUAUGCCCUAUAAGACGCAUUUUCAAUGACAUAGACAGUGAAAAUGCACCAUGUAAGACGUGCUUUCCUUUCUCUCUUCAAAACAACAUUGAUAAAUUUAAAAAAAACAACAUAGAUAAUUAAAUGUAGAUUUUUUUUUUCAGCAUAAAUGGAUAAAUCAACCUGGUAUAUAUUAAAUUAAUUAUAUUAUCUUAAUUAUUUAUUUGACUGAGUCUUAUUAAUGAAUGCCAAAUAUUAUAUAUUAUUAAUUAAUAUUUGCCUUCUGUUUCGAGCAAAUAAGAAAGCUUCAUAUUGGCCAUUUACACGCACACACGCAUAUAUAUCAUAGUGUAUUAUGAAUAUUCCAAGUGAAGGGAAUUUGCAUGCUUUUGGCUUUGGGUUGAUGGGAAAACGACAAAAACACCAAUAUUAACCAAUAAAAUUAAAAGCUUUAGAAUUAAGGACGAAUCACGCUUGAAAGUAGGCAUUGGGUCUAAUACAGUUUGUAUACAUUUGAUGCUUCAAAUAAUGCAUUUUGAAAGUUUGCUGCUUGGGCUUACAUUUUACAGGGUUUUGUUGUAGAGAAAAAGAGAAUUUUUAAUUUGUAGAGUCCUCUUGUGAAGUGCUUCUUCUGAUACGUGGCAAUUGUGAAUGUAAGAAGUUUCAUACAUGUAAGUCUGUCUGGUGUUUGCAGCCGGGGGAGAAGACGAUAGGAACCAAUGAAUAACGUCUCUCCUGGUUUAUGCCCCCAUGCCUAAUUAUUUUUUACUCAAAACUGUUCUUUCAGAUUAAACUAAAUAUUCAGAUUGAUUUGUAAGAUAUGCAUUUGCUGCCAUUUUAAGCUUUCCUGUACUUUCAUUGGAACAUUGUCUAACCAAACAACUCCUUUUUUCCCUGUAAUGGUUCAUGAGCUAUAUAUGAUCGUUUCAGUUUUGUUACUUUUACAAUGUUUAACCUGCACAAAUGAUCUUGGGAUUCAUUAGCAUUGGUAUUAGUAAAAUAAAUUGUGAUUUUAUUAAAAUAUAAUAGAGAAAUAAAAGACAGAAAAUGGGUAAAUGAAGGGGAAAAAAAAAAAGAAUGGGGGAAAUUACAUAGGAAAAAAGAACUAGAGUUUCCGCCUCUCAAUACACCAACCAAAGAAUUACAACGCAGAAUGUGGAAUGUGAUCAAAAUCAAUCUAGAAGCUCAAAGCAAUGGCUGCCCAUCCCAACGCCAACCCUCCAAUUAUCUUCUUCAUGUUCUUCAUUGCCUCUGCUCCACUCUGCAUUUGUUUAUAAUAACUCUUUAAAUGUUACAAAUAAAUAUAGUUUUAAGAUGAAAAAAAGAUCCAUUGGUCGGUCCUUUUUCAGAAAAGUAAAUGAACUAGCUCAACGGUGCAUCCUUUAGACGCGAUUAAAAGAAAAACAAGAUCUCUCUACAUUUAUGCAGUGUAAAAGUUCAGAUCUGAAAGCGCAUUGUUAUAUGAUGUAAGCUACUGAAGCGUUAGUAAAGCGAAGAGAAUGUACCUCAUCGGCAGCGACAGAUGGACCGGGAGAGGAAGCAUCGAGGCUAGGUCCAGGAGCUCCAGUUGGUGGAGCGGGAGGUCCAAGCAUAUCAGGUGAAGGAGCCGGAGCAUGGUGUUUCUUGGAUUUCUUGCUUUUGCUCUUGCUCUUGCUUGGAGCUGGGGCGGGAACCUCAGCAGUAGUUGGUGCCGCAACAAGAGCCGGAGGAGAGGCCGAGCUCUCUGGUGGAGUCGUCGGUGCAGCAACGGGAGGCGAUUUGGCUGGAGGAGAGCUCACAG
rnacentral:lncRNA from 1 species